rnacentral:rRNA from 1 species
UUGAACGCUGGCGGCAGGCCUAACACAUGCAAGUCGAACGGUAACAGGAAGCAGCUUGCUGCUUCGCUGACGAGUGGCGGACGGGUGAGUAAUGUCUGGGAAACUGCCUGAUGGAGGGGGAUAACUACUGGAAACGGUAGCUAAUACCGCAUAACGUCGCAAGACCAAAGAGGGGGACCUUCGGGCCUCUUGCCAUCGGAUGUGCCCAGAUGGGAUUAGCUAGUAGGUGGGGUAACGGCUCACCUAGGCGACGAUCCCUAGCUGGUCUGAGAGGAUGACCAGCCACACUGGAACUGAGACACGGUCCAGACUCCUACGGGAGGCAGCAGUGGGGAAUAUUGCACAAUGGGCGCAAGCCUGAUGCAGCCAUGCCGCGUGUAUGAAGAAGGCCUUCGGGUUGUAAAGUACUUUCAGCGGGGAGGAAGGGAGUAAAGUUAAUACCUUUACUCAUUGACGUUACCCGCAGAAGAAGCACCGGCUAACUCCGUGCCAGCAGCCGCGGUAAUACGGAGGGUGCAAGCGUUAAUCGGAAUUACUGGGCGUAAAGCGCACGCAGGCGGUUUGUUAAGUCAGAUGUGAAAUCCCCGGGCUCAACCUGGGAACUGCAUCUGAUACUGGCAAGCUUGAGUCUCGUAGAGGGGGGUAGAAUUCCAGGUGUAGCGGUGAAAUGCGUAGAGAUCUGGAGGAAUACCGGUGGCGAAGGCGGCCCCCUGGACGAAGACUGACGCUCAGGUGCGAAAGCGUGGGGAGCAAACAGGAUUAGAUACCCUGGUAGUCCACGCCGUAAACGAUGUCGACUUGGAGGUUGUGCCCUUGAGGCGUGGCUUCCGGAGCUAACGCGUUAAGUCGACCGCCUGGGGAGUACGGCCGCAAGGUUAAAACUCAAAUGAAUUGACGGGGGCCCGCACAAGCGGUGGAGCAUGUGGUUUAAUUCGAUGCAACGCGAAGAACCUUACCUGGUCUUGACAUCCACGGAAGUUUUCAGAGAUGAGAAUGUGCCUUCGGGAACCGUGAGACAGGUGCUGCAUGGCUGUCGUCAGCUCGUGUUGUGAAAUGUUGGGUUAAGUCCCGCAACGAGCGCAACCCUUAUCCUUUGUUGCCAGCGGUCCGGCCGGGAACUCAAAGGAGACUGCCAGUGAUAAACUGGAGGAAGGUGGGGAUGACGUCAAAUCAUCAUGCCCCUUAUGACCAGGGCUACACACGUGCUACAAUGGCGCAUACAAAGAGAAGCGACCUCGCGAGAGCAAGCGGACCUCAUAAAGUGCGUCGUAGUCCGGAUUGGAGUCUGCAACUCGACUCCAUGAAGUCGGAAUCGCUAGUAAUCGUGGAUCAGAAUGCCACGGUGAAUACGUUCCCGGGCCUUGUACACACCGCCCGUCACACCAUGGGAGUGGGUUGCAAAAGAAGUAGGUAGCUUAACCUUCGGGAGGGCGCUUACCACUUUGUGAUUCAUGACUGGGGUG